AGAGUUUGAUCAUGGCUCAGAAUGAACGCUGGCGGCACGCUUAACACAUGCAAGUCGAACGGGAUCUUCGGAUCUAGUGGCAGACGGGUGAGUAACGCGUGGGAACCUGCCCAGUAGUAGAGAAUAACUUGAGGAAACUUAAGCUAAUACUUUAUACACCCUUCGGGGAAAAGCUUUAUGCGCUAUUGGAUGGGCCCGCGUUAGAUUAGUUUGUUGGUGAGGUAAUGGCUCACCAAGACUACGAUCUAUAGCUGGUCUGAGAGGAUGAUCAGCCACACUGGGACUGAGACACGGCCCAGACUCCUACGGGAGGCAGCAGUGGGGAAUAUUGGACAAUGGGGGCAACCCUGAUCCAGCGAUGCCGCGUGAGUGAUGAAGGCCUUCGGGUUGUAAAACUCUUUCGUCAGGGAAGAUAAUGACGGUACCUGAAGAAGAAGAUCCGGCUAACUCCGUGCCAGCAGCCGCGGUAAUACGGAGGGAUCUAGCGUUAUUCGGAAUUACUGGGCGUAAAGCGAGCGUAGGCGGAUUUGUAAGUUGGAGGUGAAAUCCCAGAGCUUAACUCUGGAACUGCCUUCAAAACUACAUUUCUUGAGUUUGGUAGAGGAGAGUGGAAUUCCUAGUGUAGAGGUGAAAUUCGUAGAUAUUAGGAGGAACACCAGUGGCGAAGGCGACUCUCUGGGCCAAUACUGACGCUGAGGUUCGAAAGCAUGGGUAGCGAACAGGAUUAGAUACCCUGGUAGUCCAUGCAGUAAACGAUGAGUGCUAGAUGUUGGGAAUUUAAAUUUCCAGUAUCGCAGUUAACGCGUUAAGCACUCCGCCUGGGAAGUACGGCCGCAAGGCUAAAACUCAAAUGAAUUGACGGGGACCCGCACAAGCGGUGGAUCAUGUG
rnacentral:rRNA from 1 species